rnacentral:rRNA from 1 species
GGGUUUUGUAACACGGUAGCCGUAAAAUGCACUCGACGAUGAUCAGGAGCUUGCUCCUGUGAUUAGUGGCGAACGGGUGAGUAACACGUGAGUAACCUGCCCCUGACUCUGGGAUAAGCGUUGGAAACGACGUCUAAUACUGGAUACGACUGCCGGCCGCAUGGUCUGGUGGUGGAAAGAUUUUUUGGUUGGGGAUGGACUCGCGGCCUAUCAGCUUGUUGGUGAGGUAAUGGCUCACCAAGGCGACGACGGGUAGCCGGCCUGAGAGGGUGACCGGCCACACUGGGACUGAGACACGGCCCAGACUCCUACGGGAGGCAGCAGUGGGGAAUAUUGCACAAUGGGCGAAAGCCUGAUGCAGCAACGCCGCGUGAGGGAUGACGGCCUUCGGGUUGUAAACCUCUUUUAGUAGGGAAGAAGCGAAAGUGACGGUACCUGCAGAAAAAGCACCGGCUAACUACGUGCCAGCAGCCGCGGUAAUACGUAGGGUGCAAGCGUUGUCCGGAAUUAUUGGGCGUAAAGAGCUCGUAGGCGGUUUGUCGCGUCUGCUGUGAAAUCCCGAGGCUCAACCUCGGGCUUGCAGUGGGUACGGGCAGACUAAGUGCGGUAGGGGAGAUUGGAAUUCCUGGUGUACCGGUGGAAUGCGCAGAUAUCAGGAGGAACACCGAUGGCGAAGGCAAUCUCUGGGCCG